rnacentral:piRNA from 1 species
UGACAAGCCAAGGUUGCCCGGCCUGCAC